GGGGGGAAUUUUUCAAAUGUAUUUCCAUAAUAUUUCUUGUGAUCUUUACAGCGUUAUAAAAGUGAGCCACAUCCACGAGUUAUAUUUGUCUUCACACCUUGUAAAAGAAUAUAAACCUUGGCUGGAGUCGUUAGAAAAUAGACUUUAAUCUACAUGGGGGCGGGGUGUAACAGAAUCAUACAUGGCAGAUACAUGUCCAGACAUUGAAAUACUGCUCAGCUGAAAAUAGAAAAAGAAAUGUUUUCACAGCUGUUUGACAGGAGACACAUUGUAGUUUGAAUAAAAAUCACAUCAAGUGAUUGACAUUUCAUUUAGACAUGUUUAUGUGUACAAAGGCGUAUAAAACAAGUACAAUAAUGGACAAACAAUGGGUGUAAACACUUUUUUUUUUUUUGCGUAUAUGUGCUAUUUCAUGACGCCAGCGUCCCACAAGUCGGAUCAACCGCAAACUGCCUUCGUUCCAUCACAGGCAGCCUACACAAAGUCUCAAAAGUAUUCUAAAACUACACCUGUAGAUUCAACUAGCAUACAAAGGAAAACGGGCGAUGGCGUACAGUCUGCUCAAGCCUUUACGAGGAGAGCACCGUGGUGUCAUUUGCAGUGUGUCCAUUGGUCCCUUUUGGUAGCUGGUUUGAAGUUGUGAUGAGGCACAGCAGGUGUCAACAACACAACAAGGCGUACGAACUGGAGAUGAAAACGGGCGUAUUUCCAGUAUUGCAUCGGACAGAGCCAGCUCGUGUAGCAGUAGGUCUUUGGGCAGAGUCUCCAAAAGUGUCCAGCAUGGAGCUCAAGUGCUUGCUUUGAAAUGUGAAAUGGCACUCGGGGAUAACUCGGUGCGCUUUUCACCCUCCUGUCCCUGGUUGCUUUUCAUUUGGCGUCGGUGGACAGCUGCUCCAGCAGAGGGUUGGCCUCGCUCUCGGGGGUUUUGACGCUGUCGGUCCUCACGAUGCAGGUGGGCCGGUGGAGGUUGAGCAUCACCAUGAGCUGCUGCCUCUCCAGGCGCAGCUCCUCGAUCUGGGCUUUCAGCUCAGAGUUCACCAUCUCCAGGCGUUCUGAUUCCUGGAAGGACAAGAUGAAACUUGACUGUGUGCACGUUGCUCAUUCUGGGCUGUGCUGACGAAAUGUUUUAGGUCAGCCGCUGGGGUGGAGUCUCAUCAGUAUGCAGCGCUUGUGUGAGGAACUCACCCUUUGGAGGAAGUCCGUUCGCUCCUUCUUCUUGUUUCGGCAUCGCGCUGCCGCUACUUUGUUUUUUUCUCGCCUUCGUUUCCUCCUCUCUUCAUCUUCGUCCAUCUGCAAAGCAAUAAACCAUUAGUGUGAAACCAGAACUUACAAGUAAUUCUUGUCCUAACCACUCAAGGGGGGCAAAAAUUGAAACUUAGAAUUACAUGAAAAAUGUAUGAAUAUAUGCUAGUAAAACAUCCACACGUUGGCUUGGAUUUGAAACAGCUAUGCACCAAAAAUGGCCCACGGACCACAUUUGGGACACCUCUGUAUGAACUUUUUGUUUUCGUUUUCUCUGUGCUUAUUAGGCAAACAUCUCUGGAGCCGCUUCCUCUUUCUCUCCUCCCCGCUCACCUCUGUUUUGAUGGCGAGCGGCCUCUUCCCUAGCCGCCCCAGGAAGUGCAGCGGCGAGAACAUGGCGCCCAGCUGGUGGAAGUCGGCCAGUUUCAGCUGGUCGGUGAGCGUGGUGGCCGAGAUGCCCGCCAGUGGGCCCAGGCUGGGCAGAGAGCCCGCCGCCAGCGAAGGGUCCGGUAUCUGUCCCGGCAUCAUGUCCAACCCCGGCCACCCCCGCCGCUACGAGAGACACAGGAAAGAGAAGGCGUGUUUAGACAUUUAGCAGGUAUCUCAUCUUGCAGCCCCCUCAUAGCAACAUCAUCUUUUUGGCCGCUGACCUCACCAUCGUGUGUCUUCUUGUCAUCUACCAUCGCCAUAACAACAACUUGUUUCUGCAUGACAUCAUUCAACGGCCACGAAAGCUAGGUUUUAUCAGGGUGGAGAAUGAAGACAUCUUAAAGUCGCGGCGGAGAUGGGAAACACAUGUUGCAGAUGCAUGACGACACGCUGUCCUUCCGUUCAACCUCGUGUGAGCACAGAAGACACAUGCGUUUCUGGACUAUUGAAUUCCUCCAGUAGUCAAGGAACAUCUAAGGGACUUGAGACGGGCGGUAGCCAGCAAGCUAACCAGUUAGCUUCAAAUAAGAAGAAGCCAAAAAUGUACCACUUCUACACUGGAUGAGAGGAGAACCUUUGGACAUGCCAUGGCUGACUUCAUGCAGUGUUGAGGUCACAGAUGAGAUGGAGCCUAACCCCGCCUACUUUGGACAAGAGAUAAACUACACCCAAGACUGAUUACUUGUCCAUCAGAGUGUUGAUAUAGAGUAACUACACAUCACUGCACUAUUCUAAUUUGGUUCCGCCGUGAUUUAUGUCUCGCAUCUGAGGGGAGAUCAUCAUCGCGUGCGUGCGUCACAGUCACUCCGAACAUAGACGUGGAACACAUCUCAGAGGUGGCCAGCGGGGUUAAUAAAGCAGAACAGAUCGUGAAACAGGAGACGUCUGGCCGUGCAUGAAUAGUCAGGAAAGACGCCUUCUCACCUUGAUGAGCGUUACAACUGUUGGCUGCAAACAGACACUUGCACCAUCAGAAUGGAAGAAGUCAACCCUGCCAUAAACGCAAUGUUGGAGAGUUGAGACCAUCCAUCAUAAACUCUGACGCGGCGAGACCGCCUCUGAGAGCCUCAUCGCCCUCCGCCAAGGCAUCCAUCUCUGAGAGGUUGAAGGAGAAGACGCUGCGGUAGUUGCAAGCGGGGCUGGAAGACGGCAGACAUUCAAGGUCACCGGCCACAGACUUGUACAGGGUUUCCCAGUCGGGGAGGCAGAGGGGCCCGCUCAGGUCCAUGAUGUCGGGGACGAACUCCGCACCGGCUACCUCGGACGCCACCGCCUCCAUCUCUAGGCUGGGCACCAGGUCAUCCAAAUCGUCCUUUAGGUCCUCCAGGGCUGCUGCUUCAUCAGCGCUCGAGCACAGCAGGAUGUUGGAGUUGCCCAAUAUGGCCGCAGCUGGGAUGCAACGAUCUGUUUCUUGAACUGUGGUGCUUUCAGGCAACAUCUGUGGGGAAGCUGGCGCAUCCUGCAGCAUCGUUGCAUCCUCCUCGCCCUGCUCUUCAGUUUGCUGGAGUUUGCAGGACGACUCAUGCGAGGCCAAGACCUGCUCCAGUCUCUCCUUUUCCUUCAGGAGCUCCUCUAUCUCUGACUGGAGGCUGGACUUCUCUUCCUCUAGCUGCUGCUGAUGAAAGCGAGUCAGACGGAUGCAUGCUGCACCCUGGGGUGUCCCCGCCAGGCGAUGCUGUGCUGCAGCUGGACGAGGAGUCGAACUCAGCGCUGGAAUCCGGGUGCAUUAUUAUUAUUAUUUUAGUAUUUAUAUCUGAGGGGGAAAUAAAUACAAUUCAGGGCAUUUAAAAAACGGAGGCGCUAGAUGUAAAAAAAACACACACAAAAAAAACAAAAAUGGUUACUUAUCUUCCAUUAGCCAGCUUGAUAUUGAAUGGUACAGAGUGCAGAGUGGAGAGGAGGACCCGCCUUUUAUAGUGAGCUGGAAUUUUAUGAAUGAAAUGUGGGAGAGCGGACCAUUCUACAGAGAAAAGGGGGGUGGGGAAAUACGAAAACACGGGUGCCAUUCUUUCUUUAAAGCAUCGUAUCAUUACAACAAAUCACCAACUAGGAACACAUUGUAUCAUUUUUUAAUGCAUAUGGCAAAAUAAUAUUGUAUGAGGCGAUACCCCCCCUGCGCAGAAGAGGCGACCCUCUGCAUGAAUGAACGACGUCACGUAAUGCAUGCAGCAUCUGCAUCAUAUACAUCAUGCACCAUUGUCUCGUAACGCUGCAGCAUGUAAGCUAGCAAUGCCUUCCGAAGCCCCGCCUCUGCUAUCAUUGUGUGAUUUUUUUAAUUGUUAUAUUAUUUUAUAUGGCUACUAAAUCAAGAGUAAAAUCAUCUCUCAGUGUCGUGUCCUGCCGCUGCGUGUCGAAGGAGACCUCCGGCAAAAGAAGCAACCAAUAGCCAAACACAUCGGACCAUAUAUGGCACUUCCGGUGGGCAGGGGCGCAACACAGUUGAGAGUGCGCUCAGAGCCCCCCGCCCCCAACCGCGCGCGCACACAGCACGCCGAACAAGACAGCUAAGGUGUGCGCCUGAUGACGUCAGUAAUUGAUCAGUGCUUUAUUUAGCAGGAAGAAGAGAGGCAGUGAUGAAAGCAACACAAUGUUCCAUGAUGCAUUCAGUGACAGUUGGGAGUUUUCACUUAACGAUGUGACUAUAAAAGGAGACUUCACUUAGCUUAGCAUCAUUUGAAGCAGGGAUAUCCCGGCCCUUGACAGGGACCAGUUCAAAACUGACAAUACAGAGCGCACUUGUGAUAUAGAAGAUCUUUGACGGCACAAAACGAGUGGU